AGAGUUUGAUCCUGGCUCAGAAUCAACGCUGGCGGCGUGCCUAACACAUGCAAGUCGAACGCGAAAGUCCCGCAAGGGAUAAGUAGAGUGGCAAACGGGUGAGUAACACGUGGGUGACCUGCCUUCGAGUGGGGGAUAACGUCCCGAAAGGGACGCUAAUACCGCAUAACAUCCUGCCUUUGAAGAGGUGGAGAUCAAAGCUGGGGACCGCAAGGCCUGGCGUUCGAAGAGGGGCCCGCGCCUGAUUAGCUAGUUGGUGAGGUAAUGGCCCACCAAGGCUUCGAUCAGUAUCCGGCCUGAGAGGGCGGACGGACACACUGGGACUGAGACACGGCCCAGACUCCUACGGGAGGCAGCAGUGGGGAAUUGUUCGCAAUGGGCGCAAGCCUGACGACGCAACGCCGCGUGGAGGAUGAAGACCUUCGGGUCG
rnacentral:rRNA from 1 species